AUCUUCUUUCAUAUACCAUUUGUAUUGGAGAAGCCAGCCAACAACAGAGGAACCAAAAUCUUUAGGAAACCUUUAUUCCUUCCAAGGCCUUGGUGCCGUUAAAUUUGUAGACUCUCUCCACAAAUCACAACCACCAUUGUCUUGCUGUCACACUCCUCAUUUGUCCGUCGACUCCGACUCCUCUUUGUCGAGGUGCCCACUCAACCAAGGAACCCCCAAAGAAACCCAGAAGAUUGAGCCCUAACUCCAUCUCGUUCUAUUAGAACUCCCAUUUUCCUUAAUGGCAGCAACAAGAUCUCUAUUAGUUAUGUCAUGGCAUCAGUGAAGUAGGGGCAUUUUUUGAGCGAUUGAAAAGAGAGCUUCAAGCUUUGGAAACGGAAAAUGUGCAUGUAAUUUUUGAGAACGAGCAUUGGUUAAUGAGGGAUCGUGCAUGUACUACAGGACCUUCAGAAUUGUGUUGAGGACAUGGAUGAAUGGUUAGGCAUUUUCAAUGUAAAACUUCAACAUAUGAGAGAGGACAUAAAAUCGGAUAUUUCAUGAUGUUUGGUGGCUGAUUUGUGAGGUUUCGUGAUGAAAGAGACCAACUUCAAGUCAUGGCUGAGAUGAAUGGAAGACCCAUAGGAAUUAACUCGGCUACUAGCAAACAAAAAGUGGGUGGUCACGCUAAAGCUAUGAUUUACCUUUCAUCCUUGCGGUGAACAAAUACAAGCACAGCCCAUCAAGAAGGCCACGUAGGAACGGCAGUAGAAGCAGAAGUCCUAGAAGGAACAUAAGUGACAGCCUCAAUUGUUGAAAAAUCACAUUUGCUUCUACAGUAGAGCCACAAUUUAACCGCCAUUCAAUCUCAAGAACAGAAAGAGAUGAUAGUCAACAUCUCAAUUAUUGAGUUCUUUCACAUGUGAGAUUUGGUUUUCAAUCUGGUGCUCCUUCUUCGCACGUCUUCACUUUCCCUUUGUCAUCUUCUCUAUCUUGAUUGAUUUCCACAAACAAAAUCACAAGCUUGAAAUUGGUUUCUCCUUCUUCGGUGUUUGGUGGGUUGCAGCAGGCAUCCACUUUGUAGAACGUAUGGUUGUCAAGAAGUCUUGGAUGCAGUACAAGCUAAUAAAAUCUUCAAAUAUGUCGCUUAUUUCUUUGUUGCACUGAUAGUUUAGAAGAGCUUUCGCAAAAACUGACGACACAUUUGCCAGAGUGGACGCCGUUCUUAUGGAAGCGAAGAAAAUGUUUGAGACCAAGUGCUUGUACAUUGGUAUUAUGAAUUAUUAUCUUAAGCCUAUGCAAAGUAAUAAAUGAACAGUGACGUAUGAGGUACUAUUACAAACGUUUGACUUUUUAAUCUUUACAGUUGAUUUACUUGUUUUAUUUGUCAGUAUACGACUUAUAUGCCCGUAGUCAAUGCCAUUGCAAUUUAGGGUACUAAUUUAUUACUUGAGGACAAUGGUCUAUAAACCCUAAAGAUUGUUUCAUCUUAAUAUUCUUAUUCAUAUUUACUAACCCAUUCCAUUAGUUGACUUAGUGGUGAUAUUGAGUCCAAUUUUAAUUCAUUUUAAUAAAGAGCCAAUCUCCUACAAAGCUAUGUGUAUUUAUCAUACUAUUGAAUCCCAUUUGAUGCCAUUAGCAUCAUUAAUGGCAUCGAGUAGACUUAUGUGCAACUUGUGUUGUUUACAAAACCAACAAGGGAAACCAAGUUUGCAAGAGUUCAGUAGAACUAUUGGGGAAAAUGAUUUUUUCAUUUUCUCACUAUUUUAUAUACCCUCUUUAAGUAUGUUCUGAUUUUGAUAGAAAUUUUUGCACUUCUAUAAUAAAUGAUACUACAAAUUCAAAUUCUUUAGCAUUAGUUGCCUUAUAUAAACAUCAUUUAAAGAUAUCUUUUAGUGUCAUUUAUUUAGACUUUCUAUUGCCCAUUGUGAAACCUACUGUGUAUGAAAUGGUCAGCUAAAGCCUAUAUAGGAACUUGGGAUUUGUUGAGAAAUGGGGCAAAUAAUAUGACUACUAUAUUUAGGAGCAAAAGGUUUUGUAUUGGACUUUUUCUUUGCCAUACUCGGAGUAACUCUUUUGAUUAAAUAUAAGUUAAAUGUCAUUAUUAUGUAGUUAUUCUUUUGGUCUUGGAAACUCAUAAAGAGCAUGUUUGUCUAUGCCUAAAGAAAAGCAUAGUUUUGGCUCAAGCAUGUUUGACUCAUUAUUUAUUUAGGGAGUAAGGCUCAUUAUUAUUUAGGUUUGGAAUUGGUUACUGUUCAUUGUUGUAAAAGAAAGAGAAAUAGAGGAAGCUAUUUGUCAUAAUCUGCCAGGUAAUCCAAAAAUAAAAUCCACGUUAGCUACUUGAUCUUCUUCCUUCAAAUAUACACUUACGAAUAACACAGCCAAAAUAGGAAUUAGUAAUUGAGCAGGGGUGCAAACGAUAAGCAAAAAUAAUAACCGCUGACUGUAAUCAAAGUGAAGAGUGAUAUUCUUCAGUCUUGAACUCCUAUAAGUAACACUUGAGUAGUUAGUGUAAAGCGUGUGAGUUCUAACAAAAAGCUUGCAUAUUUGAGUUAUCACUUUGACAUCAUUUUUCUUUAAAGCGGGGAAGAUUAAAAUGGAUGGUGCACUGUUUAGCAGUGUCCACAGGAAUAGAAAACCUCUGGUAAGAUUAGCAUUCUUCUUUGUAUGCUUACAUGGGCUGAUCUCAGUAUUUUGUGUGAAAAUGUUGUCUACUUCUAGACAGAAGCUUUAAGUGCGGAAAAACUUGAACACACUUAAUAUACCUCCGGUCAAAAUCAUUUGAGUCUCUCCCUCUCUCUGUAUAUUUAUUUGUAUGCAUACAUAAAUUAUUGAAUUUCAUAUGAGUUUUUGUUUUCGAUUUAUUCUUACUCUUUGUUGUGAUUUUGUGAAUAUCAUGUUAAGAAUAAGAAGAUUUUGUGUUUAUUUUUUAGGUUUUUGAGCGACAAUUCAAGAUUCAACCAACCACUCAGCUGUAUGAGAAUAAUUCAAUUUCUUCUCUUUUUUCAACUACUAUAUUUUUCUCUUGCACCUCCUUUUUCUUUUUAUUUUUUUGGGUAUUUUCACUUGCAAGAAAUUCUACUUUUGUUUGAUGAUUUUUAAAUAAGAGACUCAAUUUGUUAAUUAUUGUAAUUUUUAAUGCGGAACACAGUCCAAAUGAGGAUACAAUUGACUCUGUGCAUUUAUCUCAUCAACAUGCUUUUAAUUUGGAUCUUCUCAUAUCAUAAAGUAACACUCUAACAUUACCUUAAAAAAAAAAACACAGCUUGCACGGGUGAAUGACUAGUCUAGAAAAGGUAUAAUUUUUAUCAAAAUUUAUAUCUAAGCACAAAGCAGAUCCGUUGUGAGAAUUGAAAUUUGUUUUAUUUUCCAUUGUUCCGAUAAGUAAAUUCCUAAUAGAUUGAAGAUUUUGUUCCAAGUUUUUUACUAACGCUCCUUUUUUUCUUGUCUUUCUCUUAGAUUGUACUAUCAACUUUUAGUUCCCUAGAUCUAGACCAUGAGAGUUUUUUGUUUUGUUUUUUUUUUGGCUUUGGCUUUGUUUGGAGUCUACAUUUUCAAGUUUUGUCAAUUUUUUACUUCAUGUUUUGCUGAAUUUGUUUGGUUUGUGAAAGCUGAUUGUUCUAUUAUACUUGCAAUUCUAACUACCUUAUUUAUUAUUAUUUUUUAGGUUAGACAUGGGUAACGAAUCUUCUAAGCGAACUGUUUAAUUUAUCACAAUGAAAGUCUGUACAAUUAUGAAUCCUCGACAGACGAGAACUUCUCGACAUAUCAAUGGAGGAGACAUCAACCCGUGUUUGAAUAGUCAUGAGGGUCCAUGUCCAAUGGGAACCAAGAUGUAAAUGGUAUUUGCGCUAAUUAUGAGGAAUUCAAAAUUUUAAAUAUUCUCAUCUUAUUUUGUUGUUUGCAAAUUAGAAAUAAUAAACUCAUGUCGGUUAGUGUGGCAAAUGUUGUUUUUAAAUGGAUGGAAGAGUCAUAGAGCCCGAAGUGUCAUGCUCGGACAAUGAGAAAGUUCCCUUAGCUUGUAGUGAUGGAGGCAGUCACCACACUCGUCUAAAGCAACAAUGUUGUUAACACAAAUAGGCAAUGAUCGACACACAUUAGAUUUCCUGAAACAUCUACUAGUACUCAAUGUAGCAAGAAGAGAAGAAAGAGAGUAAAGAAAUAGUGUAUUGAAAUUUGUUAAUACUACAUUAAAUUGAUUUGUAACAGUGUACUAAAUGAUCUCAUUUUGCUUCCUUUCAAGAAUGUGGUUAUAAAACAUGAUUUGGUGGUUGCGUUCACAUGUGGUUACACAUUUUAUCAUUUAUCAUUUCUCAUACUUGAUGGAUUGUUCGAUUAGCAAGAGAAAAAUUGUUGAGUUAUGUAUUAUACUUUUGU